rnacentral:rRNA from 1 species
CCUACGGGUGGCAGCAGUAGGGAAUAUUGCUCAAUGGGGGAAACCCUGAAGCAGCAACGCCGCGUGGAGGAUGAAGGUUUUAGGAUUGUAAACCCCUUUUGUUAGAGAAGAUUGUGACGGUAUCUAACGAAUAAGCACCGGCUAACUACGUGCCAGCAGCCGCGGUAAUACGGAGGGUGCAAGCGUUACGCGGAAUCACUGGGCGUAAAGAGUGCGUAGGCGGGGUGGUAAGUCAGAAGUGAAAUCCUGUAGCUCAACUACGGAACUGCAGUGGAAACUGUUGCUCUGGAGUGUGGGAGGGGUAGGUGGAAUUCUUGGUGUAGCGGUGAAAUGCGUAGAGAUUAGGAGGAAUACUGAUUGCGAAGGCGACUUGCUGGAACGUUACUGACGCUGAGGCACGAAAGCGUGGGGAGCAAACAGGAUUAGAUACCCCAGUAGUC